AAAAAUGAUGAUUCUAUGCGCAGAAAUAAAAAUCAAAGUCGUACUACUAUGUAGAAUGAUGAUACUUGAUGUCAUCCUUGAACUGAUUUUUUUUUU
rnacentral:snoRNA from 17 species